GCUUUCAGCAACGAGCCGGGCCCUGGUUCUCUAGUCUGUUUGUGCCCAGGAUUCUGACCUGUUUGCUGCUGGGAACUGGGCAUUGGGCGUAGACAGCACAGGAUGUAACAUGGGACCAGCAGACAUCGAGCUCCAGCUCCUUCUGUCUCUAAACCCCAUGCCUUCCCCAGCCCCCAUCAGGCCAUCUUGCAGCUGCGCAAAGUCAUCUCCAGUGGGUUCUUUGAUUUUGCAAGAUCUGCUUCCUUUCAACCUUUGAAUAUAUAAGUCCCUGCCAUCCUCUUAUUAACUGUGUCCUUCCUUUCUCAAAGAAGUUUCCACAUAAAAGUUCAGAGGGAGACAGGAUGGGGAGGGGAAACUGAAAAAAGGCAGCGGAUUCUUUAUGUUUUAUUAAUUGUCAGAUGUUUCUUGUUUCUUUGUUUCAACCUGGUUUGAAACCUGUUAGCCUUGGCUACGCAGAUCAGAGCAUAAAGGGCCACCAGCCCAGGUCUGCGGCGUCAGUUUAAGUGUAAAUUAUGUUUUCAUAUCUGCUAUAAACUCCUGUUUGGGAGAGCCUGGGUGUU
rnacentral:lncRNA from 1 species